rnacentral:misc_RNA from 1 species
AUUCAAUUUUAAAAGAGUGUAACGAGAGUCUUAAUUCGGACACUGCAUGUACUGAUCAAGCUUUAGGCAUAACUUUUUCGUGCUGAAAUUGAUCAAUCUUAGUCAUUAGUGUUGAUGCCCCUGAAUCAGAGCAACUUUAAUCAGAUUCACUUGUUUCCAGUUCGUGCAUCAUUAGGCUAUUAGAGUGGACUGUCUUCAGUUGAUCUCCACUACCAGAUUGGCCAAUGGUGAAGGACUUAAGAGAGAAGGAUCAAACAACAGAAGUUCUUUGGUCAGUGAUUAGGAAUGAUUUGCGAGCCAAUGGCACCUUUGACCGAUAUGCAGUAGUAUGGGUCUCUGUUGUUGUUGCUGCUAAUGAGGUUUAUUUGGUCAGCUCUAGUGUGUCAAAAAGUG